UUGAACGCUGGCGGCAUGCCUUACACAUGCCAGUCGAACGGUAACGCGGGGCAACCUGGCGACGAGUGGCGAACGGGUGAGUAAUGCAUCGGAACGUGCCCAGAAGUGGGGGAUAGCCCGGCGAAAGCCGGAUUAAUACCGCAUGAGACCUGAGGGUGAAAGCGGGGGAUCGCAAGACCUCGCGCUUUUGGAGCGGCCGAUGUCAGAUUAGCUAGUUGGUGGGGUAAAGGCCUACCAAGGCGACGAUCUGUAGCUGGUCUGAGAGGACGACCAGCCACACUGGGACUGAGACACGGCCCAGACUCCUACGGGAGGCAGCAGUGGGGAAUUUUGGACAAUGGGCGCAAGCCUGAUCCAGCCAUGCCGCGUGCGGGAAGAAGGCCUUCGGGUUGUAAACCGCUUUUGUCAGGGAAGAAACGCUCUGGGCUAAUACCCUGGGGUAAUGACGGUACCUGAAGAAUAAGCACCGGCUAACUACGUG
rnacentral:rRNA from 1 species